UCCUCGUUUAAGCGAGGCAGUCUGUCCAGAGUGCUCCGAACUCUCGUUCGGGUGGCAACAGGACACAAGGGUUGCGCUCGUUGCGGGACUUAACCCAACAUCUCACGACACGAGCUGACGACAGCCAUGCAGCACCUGUGUAUGCUUCCCUUGCGGGUUCGUCCCACUUUCAUGGUUCUACUACAUACAUGUCAAGGCCAGGUAAGGUUCUUCGCGUUGCAUCGAAUUAAGCCACAUACUCCACCGCUUGUGCAGGCCCCCGUCAAUUUCUUUGAGUUUUAAUCUUGCGACCGUACUUCCCAGGCGGCACGUUUAACGCGUUAGCUUCGCCACAAAAGGGGUCGAUUCCUUUUACAGCAAACGUGCACCGUUUACGGCUAGGACUAC
rnacentral:misc_RNA from 1 species